GGAAUCUAUGCUGGAUGUCUGAGCGGGGUCAGAAGCUGAAGAGAAUGCCCCCCGAACCUGCAGAAGAACAUUCCGAAGAGUGGCAGCUCCAUUUCUGUUUUCCCAGUCAAAAUGUGUCCAUCAGGAGACUUUGCUAAAGAAGUUUGGAGAGGAAAGGCAUUUGUCCUCCUUGUCCUUUUCUCCCUCCUUCGCACGGGGUGGCUUCAUCACCUAGCGCUUUGGUGUUGUAUCUGCCCAGCUUCUGAGCUAACCACCACCCUUGCCCCCCUCCUCUCUCUUUCACAGGGGUGAGUACCUAGCAAUCAUGUUUGUACUCAACUACCUUAACUGAUGCGGGAGUCGGGGGGUGUACCUGACCCAAGCUGUACCUGGCUAAUCAGAUUCUCUCCCAGAGGUUCAGAAAUGAUUCUUCUCAUGGGUCUGACCCUAGCAAGCUCAAAAGUAGGGGGGUGGCUGUGUUCUGCCAAAGUGACUGAGGAAUAGACAGGGCAGGACUGCAGAGAAGCAAAAUGAAGGAGAUGCCCCAAAGGGGCAGAGGGACAGUUCUCUGCUUUGCUACUUUUUUUUUUUUCUUUUUUCUUUAUUUGAGACAGAGUUUCACUCCUGUUGCCCAGGCUGGAGUGCAAUGGUGCGAUCUCGGCUCACCACAACCCCUGCCUCCUGGGAUCAAGCAAUUCUCCUGCCUCAGCCUCCUGAGUAGCAUUCACCACCAUGCCUGGCUAAUUUUGUAUUUUUAGUAGAGACGGAGUGGUCUCGAACUCCCGACCUCAGGUGAUCCGCCCGCCUUGGCCUCCCAAAGUGCUGGGAUUACAGGUGUGAGCCACCACCCCUGUCUGCUUUACUACUUAGGAUUCCAGGCUCUUCCUGGUCUCUAGGGCCUGAGGCCUCCAUGAGAACCCUGGAGUGUGGUCGGCGUGCCCACAUCCUAAUCCCCAGAACCUAUGAAUACAUUAGGUUACAUGGCAAAGGGGAAUUGAGGUUUCUAAUCAGCUGACAUUAAAAUAGGUAGAUUAUCCUGCGUCAUCCAAGUGGGCCCAAUGUCAUUGCUGAGAUCUUUAAAAAUGGAAGGUCGAGGUGGAGAGAAUCAGAGUUGGAAAGAUGCUACGGCACUAACUUAAAGAUGGAGGAAGGAGCUAUGAGCCAAGAAAUUUGGGUAGAAAAGGCAAGGAAACAUUCUCUCCUACAGUGUGUCCCGGAAAGUGCACAGCCCUGUAGACACCUUGAUUCGAGCCCAGUGAGACCCGUCUUGAGAGUCGGAAUGAGAGAAUUGUAGAUGAAAAUGUGUUGCUCUAAGUCACUGUGCGUGUGGUAAUUUCUUACAGCAGCAAUAGGAAACCAACACACCAAGUAACCCAGUCCUUGCAACUCAAGAAUCCUAAUAUGGGCCACUUGAAUCCUUCUAACCUUGGCUUGAGGAUAACACUUCGUGUCUCAGAAGGCUCUUUAUAAAUGACAUACUUUCACUCAUCGGCUUAAUGGUAAACCUUGGUUUAGCAUUGUUGUAGGCAAUAUCAAAGAUCAGAGGCCACACUGGCUUUUAGGCAGCUCCCAUCUACUAGAGUUCAGGACAUCCACAGAAGUGGAACUGUUUUGUUUGUUUGUUUUUGAGAUGGAGUUUUGCUCUUGUUGCCCAGGCUGGAGUGCAAUGGUGCGGUCUCGGCUCACUGCAACCUCUGCCUCCCAGGU
rnacentral:lncRNA from 1 species